GAGUUUCAAGUAUAACACAGCUACAUGAUCCAAAUUCCAAAAGCAUUUACUUGACAUCUAUUUCUGUCUCAUCUUUAGAAUAAAGUAUCGACAACACAACUGAAAAUAAA